rnacentral:rRNA from 1 species
GUCUAUGGUCAUGCUACCUUGUACAAGACCGAUCCCGUCUGAUCUCAGAAGCUAAGCAGGGUCAGGCCUGGAUAGUAAUUAGAUGGGAGACCACCCAGGAAGACCAGGUGCUGUAGGCA